rnacentral:rRNA from 1 species
GAUGAACGCUAGCUACAGGCUUAACACAUGCAAGUUGAGGGACCGGCGCAUGGGUGAGUAACACGUAUCCAACCUGCCCUUUACUCGGGGAUAGCCUUUUGAAAGAAAGAUUAAUAACAGAUAUAAAGGAUGGGGAUGCGUUCCAUUAGGUUGUUGGUGAGGUAACGGCUCACCAAGCCUUCGAUGGAUAGGGGUUCUUAGAGGAAGGUCCCCCACAUUGGAACUGUGACACGGUCCAAACUCCUACGGGAUGCAUCUGUGAGGAAUAUUGGUCCAUGGGCGCUAGCCACAACCAGCCAAGUAGCGUGAAGGAUGAAGUCUUAUGAGUCAUAAACUUCUUUUAUAUAAGAAUAUGUAUUAUAUGAAUAAGUAUCCGCUUACUCCGUGCCAGCCGCCGCGGUAAUAC